UACGUAGGGGGCAAGCGUUGUCCGGAUUUAUUGGGCGUAAAGAGCGUGUAGGCGGCCGUACAGGUCAGCUGUGAAAACUCGAGGCUCAACCUCGAGACGUCGGUUGAAACCACCUGGCUAGAGUCCGGAAGAGGAGAGUGGAAUUCCCGGUGUAGCGGUGAAAUGCGCAGAUAUCGGGAAGAACACCCGUGACGAAGGCGGCUCUCUGGGACGGUACUGACGCUGAGACGCGAAAGCGUGGGGAGCGAACAGG
rnacentral:rRNA from 1 species